AUUGAACGCUGGCGGAAUGCUUUACACAUGCAAGUCGAACGGCAGCACGGACUUCGGUCUGGUGGCGAGUGGCGAACGGGUGAGUAAUGUAUCGGAACGUGCCCAGUCGUGGGGGAUAACGUAGUGAAAAUUACGCUAAUACCGCAUACGAUCUACGGAUGAAAGCGGGGGAUCGCAAGACCUCGCGCGAUUGGAGCGGCCGAUAUCAGAUUAGGUAGUUGGUAGGGUAAAGGCCUACCAAGCCAACGAUCUGUAGCUGGUCUGAGAGGACGACCAGCCACACUGGAACUGAGACACGGUCCAGACUCCUACGGGAGGCAGCAGUGGGGAAUUUUGGACAAUGGGCGAAAGCCUGAUCCAGCCAUUCCGCGUGCAGGAUGAAGGCCCUCGGGUUGUAAACUGCUUUUGUACAGAACGAAAAGGUUUCUACUAAUACUAGGAGCUCAUGACGGUACUGUAAGAAUAAGC
rnacentral:rRNA from 1 species